CCUACGGGUGGCAGCAGUGAGGAAUAUUGGUCAAUGGACGAGAGUCUGAACCAGCCAAGUAGCGUGAAGGAUGACUGCCCUAUGGGUUGUAAACUUCUUUUAUAAAGGAAUAAAACGAGGCUCGUGUGCCUUUUUGCAUGUACUUUAUGAAUAAGGAUCGGCUAACUCCGUGCCAGCAGCCGCGGUAUUACGGAGGAUCCGAGCGUUAUCCGGAUUUAUUUGGUUUAAAGGGAGCGUAGAUGGGUUGUUAAGUCAGUUGUGAAAGUUUGCGGCUCAACCGUAAAAUUGCAGUUGAUACUGGCAGUCUUGAGUACAGUUGAGGUAGGCGGAAUUCGUGGUGUAGCGGUGAAAUGCUUAGAUAUCACGAAGAACCCCGAUUGCGAAGGCAGCUUACUAAACUGUAACUGACAUUGAUGCUCGAAAGUGUGGGUAUCAAACAGGAUUAGAUACCCUUGUGGUC
rnacentral:rRNA from 1 species